AGGAUGCCCUUCGGAGUCCAAGGGCAAAGGGCUGGUGCUGAUCUUUGCCCUAAGAAGGGAAAGCACAGUUCAGAUGCCCUGCUAGGCAGGAGUGGUAGGUGCUGCAGUCUGUUCCCAGCCCUUUGUGGCAUCUGUGGGGAAAGCAAGGACAUUCUAUCUUUCUCCUUCAGUCACCUACAACAAUAGCUGUCAUGAUCAGCUAGAAGUGCAGGGAUGCACCUAGUCAACUUGGCUGUCUCUUCCUGGAAUACAUGGAAUACAAAGGAUCCAUGGAAAAGCAGUCUGAAGCAGCUUUCACAACAUAGCAUCUCCCACCAUGUCCCCAGACUGCAAAUUACUAAUUUUGCUGAGCCACGAGGCACAGAGAAAAGAAGGAAGAUCAAGAACCAGGCACUGCCUCUAGUGAGAUGACAGAGAAGAAAUGCUGCGGGCAGCUAUUUCAACAGCUCUUUACCAAACAGAUUAUGCACGAUUUGUCUGGCAUUGAAUCACUGGCUUGUGUAAACACCAGAUGCAAGUGAAAUGCAAUGUCUUAACUAAAAUGCUGUGUUUUGGCCCGUGGAAGCAAUAGAUUAUUAA